AUUAGAAAUUACGCAUACGCUAAUUGGUUAUACUCGUAGUUGUAAAGAAAUAUUGCAAUAAUUAAUAUAAGAUUUGUUUUUACUUGUGAAUUUGCCCGCGUAAUAGAGACAUAUACUGACCUGGAUGAAAAAUUUCCUUCUUCAACCCAUAUAAAAUCGUAGGAUAAGGAUCACCAAGCUGAAGUGGCAAUGGGCAAGUUACAUAGCUCGAGGAACUGACAACUAAUAAGGAAGAAAGUUUCUUGAGUAGCGACCCCGUACGGGCAAACGCAGUGUAGUUUACGUUAGAUGGCGUAACGAUCUCAAAUGCAUUACAAGAAGUCAGUCGAUGCAGGUGGUUCAAUGGAGGACGUCUAUAUUCAGCAGUGGACAGUGUGAAACGGAGGAGGACCGCUUGUCUACCAAUGUGAUAACCCUAUGUCGUCGCUCAAAUAUUUUUGUAUAUGUAUUAUUGUUGCAG
rnacentral:lncRNA from 1 species